AGCGAACGCUGGCGGCAGGCUUAACACAUGCAAGUCGAACGGUCCUUCGGGAUAGUGGCGGACGGGUGAGUAACACGUGGGAACGUACCCUUAGGUUCGGAACAACACAGGGAAACUUGUGCUAAUACCGGAUAAGCCCUUCGGGGGAAAGAUUUAUCGCCUUUGGAGCGGCCCGCGUCUGAUUAGCUUGUUGGUGAGGUAAUGGCUCACCAAGGCUACGAUCAGUAGCUGGUCUGAGAGGAUGGCCAGCCACACUGGGACUGAGACACGGCCCAGGCUCCUACGGGAGGCAGCAGUGGGGAAUCUUGCGCAAUGGGCGAAAGCCUGACGCAGCCAUGCCGCGUGGAUGAUGAAUGUCUUAGGAUUGGAAAAUCCUUUCACCGGGGACGAUAAUGGCGGUACCCGGAGAAGAAGCCCCGGCUAACUUCGUGCCAGCCGCCGCAGUAA
rnacentral:rRNA from 1 species